rnacentral:rRNA from 1 species
AACUUUUAGCAACGGAUCUCUUGGCUCUAGCAUCGAUGAAGAACGCAGCAAAAAUGCGAUAAGUAAUGCGAAUUGCAGAUUUUAGUGAGUCAUACGAGCUUUUUGAAGCCAUAUUGGCCCUGCUGGCUAUUCUAGCAGGCAUGCCUGUCCGAACGUCAUUUAC